rnacentral:rRNA from 1 species
CAGUCGCCGCGGUAAUACAGAGGGUGCAAGCGUUAAUCGGAAUUACUGGGCGUAAAGCGCGCGUAGGUGGUUUGUUAAGUUGGAUGUGAAAUCCCCGGGCUCAACCUGGGAACUGCAUCCAAAACUGGCAAGCUAGAGUAUGGUAGAGGGUGGUGGAAUUUCCUGUGUAGCGGUGAAAUGCGUAGAUAUAGGAAGGAACACCAGUGGCGAAGGCGACCACCUGGACUGAUACUGACACUGAGGUGCGAAAGCGUGGGGAGCAAACAGGAUUAGAUACCCGGGUAGUCCCUGUCUCUUAUAC